UCCCUGUUGGCUCAGAGGAUAAAGCGUCUGCCUGCAAUGCAGAAGACCCAGGUUUGAUCCCUGAGUUGGGAA
rnacentral:tRNA from 1 species